rnacentral:rRNA from 1 species
UACAGAGGUGGCAAGCGUUGUUCGGAAUUACUGGGCGUAAAGGGCGCGUAGGCGGCCUUCUCAGUCGGACGUGAAAUCCCCAGGCUUAACUUGGGAACUGCGUCCGAUACUGGAUGGCUUGAGUGCGGGAGAGGGAUGUGGAAUUCCAGGUGUAGCGGUGAAAUGCGUAGAUAUCUGGAGGAAUACCGGUGGCGAAGGCGGCAUCCUGGACCGAGAUUGACGCUGAGGAGCGAAAGCUAGGGGAGCAAACGGGG